GAGUUUGAUCCGGGCUCAGGAUGAACGCUAGCGGAACGCCUAACACAUGCAAGUCGAACGGAUUCUGCGUUGUAGCAAUACAUAGUAGAAUUAGUGGCAAACGAGCGAGUAACGCGUGCCUAACCUGCCCUUAAGAUGGGAACAACUACGGAGACGUAGCUAAAUCCCAAUAUGCUCACGAUGGUGAAAUGCCGAUGCGAGGAAAGAUUUAUCGCUUAAGGAGGGGGGCGCGUCCUAUCAGGUAGUUGGUUGAGGUAACGGCUCACCAAGCCUAUGACAGGUAGCUGGUCUGAGAUGAUGUCCAGCCGCGAUGGGACUGAGAUACGGCCCAUACUCCUACGGGAGGCAGCAGUGGGGAAUCUUGCACAAUGGACGAAAGUCUGAUGCAGCGAUCCCGCGUGAAGGAUGAAGCAUUACGGUGUGUAAACUUCUUUUUUGGUGGAAGACGAAUGACGGUACACCAAGAAUAAGAGACGGCUAACUACGUGCCAGCAGCCGCGGUAAUACGUAGGUCUCAAGCGUUAUCCGGAUUUACUGGGCGUAAAGUAUCCGUAGCCUGAUAUGUAAGUCUGUUUUCAAAUCCCACGGCUCAAUCGUGGAAAGGGAAUGGAUACUGCAUAUCUAGAAGUUAUUGGGGGUUAGUGGAAUUUCCGGUGGAGCGGUGAAAUGCGUUGAUAUCGGAAAGAACGCCGAAAGCGAAAGCAGCUAACUAUGAUUAACUUGACGGUGAGGGAUGAAAGUUUGGGUAGCAAACGGGAUUAGAUACCCCGGUAGUCCAAACUGUAAAUUAUGCUUGCUAGGUGUUUCGAUCCUUGUGGUCGGAGUGCCGUAAUCUAACGAGUUAAGCAAGUCGCCUGGGGAGUAUAUUCGCAAGAAUGAAACUCAAAGGGAUAGGCGGGGGAAC
rnacentral:rRNA from 1 species